rnacentral:rRNA from 1 species
GAUUAACGCUGGCGGCAUGCCUAAUACAUGCAAGUCGAUCGGAUGUAGCAAUACAUUAGAGGCGAACGGGUGAGUAACACGUAUCCAAUCUGCCUUAUAGUGGGGGAUAACUAGUCGAAAGAUUAGCUAAUACCGCAUAACAAGUUAACUAUCGCAUGAGAAUAACUUUAAAGAAGCAACUGCUUCGCUAUAAGAUGAGGGUGCGGCAUAUCAGCUAGUUGGUGAGGAUAAUGGCCCACCAAGGCGAUGACGUGUAGUUAUGCUGAGAGGUAGAAUAACCACAAUGGGACUGAGACACGGCCCAUACUCCUACGGGAGGCAGCAGUAGGGAAUUUUUCACAAUGGACGAAAGUCUGAUGGAGCAAUGCCGCGUGAACGAUGAAGGUCUUUUUAGAUUGUAAAGUUCUUUUAUUUGGAACAGUUAGUAGAGUGGAAAGCUAUUAAUUUGACUGUACCAUUUGAAUAAGUAACGACUAACUAUGUGCCAGCAGUCGCGGUAAUACAUAGGUUGCAAGCGUUAUCCGGAUUUAUUGGGCGUAAAACAAGCGCAGGCGGAUUAGAAAGUCUGGUGUUAAAAGCAAGCUUAACGAUUGUAUGCAUUGGAAACUUCUAGUCUAGAGUUUGGUAGAGAGUCCUGGAACUCCAUGUGGAGCGGUGAAAUGCGUAGAUAUAUGGAAGAACACCAGAGGCGAAGGCGAGGACUUGGGCCAAUACUGACGCUUAGGCUUGAAAGUGUGGGGAGCAAAUAGGAUUAGAUACCCUAGUAGUCCACACUGUAAACGAUGGAUGUUAAGUGUCGGAGCGAAUACUUCGGUGCUGCAGUUAACACAUUAAACAUCCUGCCUGAGUAGUACAUUCGCAAGAAUGAAACUCAAACGGAAUUGACGGGGACCCGCACAAGUGGUGGAGCAUGUUGCUUAAUUCGACGGCACACGAAAAACCUUACCUAGACUUGACAUCUUGGGCGAAGCUAUAGAAAUAUAGUGGAGGUCAACCCAAUGACAGGUGGUGCAUGGUUGUCGUCAGCUCGUGUCGUGAGAUGUUG